rnacentral:tRNA from 1 species
GCCACCCUAGCUCAAAUGGCAGAGCAGUUCAUUCGUAAUGAACAGGUUAAGGGUUCAAGUCCCUUGGGUGGCU